AACGAACGCUGGCGGCAUGCCUAACACAUGCAAGUCGAACGGGAUCCACCUUUCGGGGUGGUGAGAGUGGCGGACGGGUGAGUAACACGUGGGAACCUGCCUUUUGGUUCGGGAUAACCGCGGGAAACUGCGGCUAAUACCGGAUGUACCCGCGAGGGGAAAGAUUUAUCGCCAGAAGAGGGGCCCGCGUCCGAUUAGGUAGUUGGUAGGGUAAAGGCCUACCAAGCCGACGAUCGGUAGCUGGUCUGAGAGGAUGAUCAGCCACACUGGGACUGAGAUACGGCCCAGACUCCUACGGGAGGCAGCAGUGGGGAAUAUUGGACAAUGGGGGCAACCCUGAUCCAGCAAUGCCGCGUGAGUGAUGAAGGUCUUAGGGUUGUAAAGCUCUUUUGCCAGGGAAGAUGAUGACGGUACCUGGAGAAUAAGCCCCGGCUAANUUCGUGCCAGCAGCCGCGGUAAUACGAAGGGGGCUAGCGUUGUUCGGAAUUACUGGGCGUAAAGGGCGCGUAGGCGGCCAUUUAAGUUAGGUGUGAAAGUCCUGGGCUCAACCUGGGACUGCACUUAAUACUGGGUGGCUUGAAUUCGGGAGAGGAUAGCGGAAUUCCCCAGUGUAGAGGUGAAAUUCGUAGAUAUUGGGAAGAACACCGGUGGCGAAGGCGGCUAUCUGGGACCGACAUUGACGCUGAGGCGCG
rnacentral:rRNA from 1 species